GCCGUCCGUUGAGCAUGGACUCGGGUGCCACCAGAGGACUCGGCCGGGUUUUCGAAGUGCGGAACACCAUUUCGGCCCCUUCACGAUGGCUCUCCCGCGGGCGUAGUGAGUGCUUUCUUGCCCGAGGACCAACCUUCGCAGAUGGCGUAGGAUCGAACGAGCGUCACAAACUGAGCCGUCGCAUGCGCCAGAUUUGCGGCAGCCCGGCGUGGUUUGAAAAGAACCCACUGGCCGCGGAGAAACACGCCGGAGACCGUUAGACGUGUUCCGUGUCACUCGGAGAUGACAGCUGCCUCAACGAGCUGCAGCUGUGCCUCAGCCACGACGACUGCGAGGGCGACGAGUUUCUG